AGACAGACAAUGUUGAUGCAUUUAGGGCUGCAUGGGGAGCAGCAUGCAAGAACAGCAGUAGUCGAGCAAAGGUUUUGAUCCCAGAGGGAACUUAUCGUACUGCUCAAACUAUGUUCGCGGGACCAUGUAGUAGCCCAAAGCCUAUAACCGUUGAAGUUAUAGGAACUGUUAAAGCCAACACAGAUCCAUCUGAGUAUGUGAGUCCAGAAUGGUUCACGUUUCAAGACAUUGAUGGCCUUGUGUUGACUGGGAGAGGAG
rnacentral:sRNA from 1 species